rnacentral:rRNA from 1 species
UACAGAGGUCUCAAGCGUUGUUUCGGAUUCAUUGGGCGUAAAGGGUGCGUAGGCGGCGCGGUAAGUCGGGUGUGAAAUCUCGGAGCUUAACUCCGAAACUGCAUUCGAUACUGCCGUGCUUGAGGACUGGAGAGGAGACUGGAAUUUACGGUGUAGCGGUGAAAUGCGUAGAUAUCGUAAGGAAGACCAGUGGCGAAGGCGGGUCU